GGAAUAUGGGGAAGUCGCAGAAGACUGGAAAACAGCUAAUGUAUCAAUAUUUAAAAGAGCAAACAGGAUGAAGCUGUUUUUUGUGAAUUGCUGAUGAAAACCACUCUGUCCAGAGAGUUUUUCAUGGAUCACUGCCAUUUAAGACUUUAAGAGUGAGGCGGCCUGGCUCCCGACAGCCCCAGAGAGAGAGGAACCAG